rnacentral:rRNA from 1 species
GCAGCAGCCGCGGGAAUACCGAGGCCUCAAGCGUUGUUCGGAUUCAUUGGGCGUAAAGGGUGCGUAGGUGGCUUGGUAAGUUGAAGGUGAAAUCUCGGGGCUUAACCCCGAAACUGCCUUCAAUACUGCUAGGCUCGAGGACUGUAGAGGAGAAUGGAAUUCACGGUGUAGCAGUGAAAUGCGUAGAUAUCGUGAGGAAGACCAGUGGCGAAGGCGAUUCUCUGGGCAGUUCCUGACACUGAGGCACGAAGGCCAGGGGAGCAAACGGGAUUAGAUACCCCGGUAGUCCCUGUCUCUUAUAC